GGCUGCUCCAUUCACCAGCCAACACAACACCGGCAUAAUAACGACAUAAAAAAUGCAAACGCAUCCAUUCCGCCUGUACGACACGGCGAAGAGGUAGAGACUAGGAAGAAAGCGAGAGAGGGAGUUUACUAGUGAUAGUGGUUAUAUCAACAGGUGUGAGAGUUAGUAAGCGGGAGUUUUAAAGAUGAGAGAGGAAUGGAUGGAGAGAUUCUGUUUUGGAAUAACCUGAGCUGAGGAGGAGAGAAGAUGGAGGGACUGUGACAGGAGAUACAGAGGGAGAGCGGCGCAUUGUGUUGUAACGUUAUGGGAUGUACUCUAUCCGCAGCCUGCCCAGCAUGGUGUACCGGGAGCAGCCAGAGGAAGAUGGACUAGAGGACAUGACACAGCUGGAGGAGGUACACGAGGGAGCUGUGCUGCUCAACCUGAAGAAGAGGUUUGAGAGAGAGAUCAUCUAUACAUAUAUAGGUAGUAUCCUGGUCUCCGUGAACCCCUACAAGAUG